GACGUAGGGCGCGAGCGUUGUCCGGAUUUAUUGGGCGUAAAGAGCUCGUAGGCGGCUUGUCGCGUCGUCCGUGAAAACCUGCAGCUCAACUGCAGGCUUGCGGUCGAUACGGGCAGGCUAGAGUUCGGUAGGGGGAGACUGGAAUUCCUGGUGUAGCGGUGAAAUGCGCAGAUAUCAGGAAGAACACCAGUGGCGAAGGCGGUCUGCUGGGCCGUUGCUGACGCUGAGGCGCGACAGCGUGGGGAGCAAACAGG
rnacentral:rRNA from 1 species